rnacentral:rRNA from 1 species
UACAGAGGUCUCAAGCGUUUGUUCGGAUUCAUUGGGCGUAAAGGGUGCGUAGGCGGCGCGGUAAGUCGGGUGUGAAAUCUUGGAGCUUAACUCCGAAACUGCAUUCGAUACUGCCGUGCUUGAGGACUGGAGAGGAGACUGGAAUUUACGGUGUAGCGGUGAAAUGCGUAGAUAUCGUAAGGAAGACCAGUGGCGAAGGCGGGUCUCGUGGACAGUUCCUGACGCUGAGGCACGAAGGCCCAGGGGGAGCAAAACGGGG